GGAGGAGUGGCUGAGUGGUCUAAAGCACCGGUUUCGAAAACCGGCAUGCCGCAAGGCAUCGUGAGUUCGAAUCUCACCUCCUCCG
rnacentral:tRNA from 1 species